rnacentral:rRNA from 1 species
UAGGGAAUCUUCGGCAAUGGACGGAAGUCUGACCGAGCAACGCCGCGUGAGUGAAGAAGGUUUUCGGAUCGUAAAGCUCUGUUGUAAGAGAAGAACGGGUGUGAGAGUGGAAAGUUCACACUGUGACGGUAUCUUACCAGAAAGGGACGGCUAACUACGUGCCAGCAGCCGCGGUAAUACGUAGGUCCCGAGCGUUGUCCGGAUUUAUUGGGCGUAAAGCGAGCGCAGGCGGUUAGAUAAGUCUGAAGUUAAAGGCUGUGGCUUAACCAUAGUACGCUUUGGAAACUGUUUAACUUGAGUGCAAGAGGGGAGAGUGGAAUUCCAUGUGUAGCGGUGAAAUGCGUAGAUAUAUGGAGGAACACCGGUGGCGAAAGCGGCUCUCUGGCUUGUAACUGACGCUGAGGCUCGAAAGCGUGGGGAGCAAACAGGAUUAGAUACCCUGGUAGUCCACGCCGUAAACGAUGAGUGCUAGGUGUUAGACCCUUUCCGGGGUUUAGUGCCGUAGCUAACGCAUUAAGCACUCCGCCUGGGGAGUACGACCGCAAGGUUG